AACGAACGCUGGCGGCAGGCCUAACACAUGCAAGUCGAGCGCUCUAGCAAUAGGGAGCGGCGCACGGGUGAGUAACGCGUAGGAAUCUACCUUGUAGUACGGAACAACAGUUGGAAACGACUGCUAAUACCGUAUACGCCCUUCGGGGGAAAGAAUUUCGCUAUAAGAUGAGCCUGCGUUAGAUUAGCUAGUGGGUGAGGUAAUGGCUCACCAAGGCGCCGAUCUAUAGCUGGUCUGAGAGGAUGAUCAGCCACACUGGGACUGAGAAACGGCCCAGAAUCCUACGGGAGGCAGCAGUGGGGAAUGUUGGGCAAUGGGCGCAAGCCUGACCCAGCCAUGCCGCGUGAGUGAUGACGGCCUUAGGGUUGUAAAGCCCUUUUAGUGGUGAGGAUGAUGACGGUAACCACAGAAAAAGCCCCGGCUAACUUCGUGCCAGCCGCCGCGGUAA
rnacentral:rRNA from 1 species